rnacentral:tRNA from 1 species
CGCGGGAUGGAGCAGCAUGGUAGCUCGUCGGGCUCAUAACCCGAAGGUCGUAGGUUCGAAUCCAGCUCCCGCAACCA